UAUUCAUGAUGAACCUGCAAUGUAUCUUUUCCUUAAAUGGUUAGUUAUGGAAGCAGAAAUCCAUACAAAAAUAAACUCCAUUAAUAAAUGGUCACUACUACAUUUCUCAAUUAUACUAAACUGUUUCAGACUUUGUUAAUUUGUUGCCAUUGAUGGCUGAUUAAAUACAUGUAAAUGGUUUUGUUUUCAUUUUCCUUAAAUUUUAAAUGUGUAUAAACAUUUUUAUUCCCAAAUUUAAGCCACCAGUGCCAAGAUUCUGACUGAAGCGGAUCUUUAUGGUUGUAUUAUAAACAAGUGCAAAUAUAAGUUAUGAGGUACAGUGCUGACAUAAUGUUAAUUAUAGCUGGAAGAAGAUUUGCCAGUGUGUAUACAGUGUGGAAAUACAAGGACUCAUUGUAAGUUAAUAAAGAUCAUUAAAAGAAAUCACACAUUUCAUAAUCAUGCUUUCAUCAAGAUAGUAUGACCUAUUCUAUAAUUAAGCAAUUAAAAUAGAAGCUGAAAUAUUUGGAGAUGAUUAACUUAUCCAGUAGUUAGACUUGACAGGUGCUAUUACCCAAUAAAUAAUCACUGAGUAACUGGAAUUCUUAACCAAUAUGAUUUUUUGUUGACUCCUAGGUUGGUUGUUUGGUUGUUUUUUUUUUAACAAAAAGCCACUUAAAAGUUUUCUUUAUAUUUCCAAUGACAAACUAUAUUUUGUAUAUUCCUUUAAAAGAGAAAUCUACAGCCUUGCCAUGACUGCUCUCUGAGGCUUUUGGAGACCUCAGUGGUGAGAACAGCACAAAUAUCUAACUAGAUUGCAGCAGGUUAAUUUUGUAUCAGAGGAAUCACCAAGAUAUUCAUAUAUAAAGCCAGGGAAUCUGUGCUAGUCAUUUCUGGAGUUCAGAACUAAUCCAUAACAAAAUCAUCCCAUGACUGGAGUUGGCAGUAAGGAGAAAAUAGUGUGUCCAGAAGAUCUUCAGAUUGCAGUAUGAAUCAAACAUAGACUCUGUGAUAUAAUCUGGACUCAUAUUCAAAUAAUCUAGAUACAGUAUCUUGAUAAUUUAUAUAAAAUUAUCUUAUCU